rnacentral:rRNA from 1 species
AGCAGUCGCCGCGGGAAAACGUAGGUGGCAAGCGUUAUCCGGAAUUAUUGGGCGUAAAGCGCGCGUAGGCGGUUUUUUAAGUCUGAUGUGAAAGCCCACGGCUCAACCGUGGAGGGUCAUUGGAAACUGGAAAACUUGAGUGCAGAAGAGGAAAGUGGAAUUCCAUGUGUAGCGGUGAAAUGCGCAGAGAUAUGGAGGAACACCAGUGGCGAAGGCGACUUUCUGGUCUGUAACUGACGCUGAUGUGCGAAAGCGUGGGGAUCAAACAGGAUUAGAGACCCCAGUAGUCCCUGUCUCUUAUAC